UCCAAAAAAAAAUAUAAAGUGCAGUCCAAUUAUACAAUCCAAAAAUAGAAAAAUGCGUAAAAAUAAAUCCUAUUCUAAACUAAUCCUAGACUAAUGCUCUACCCGACGCCUCGGGCCUUCAUCACGAACCUCCUCCUAGUACAAAAUACUUUAGGGCAUUUUUCGAUGAAUAAACACAAAUAUCUCGGGGCAUUCCCCAUCCAAAUGAUACUUUGAUCCAAAAAAAACUAUAAAAAUAAGCCAUUCAACACACAUUUUUCAACAUUCAACAUUUGAUGAGUUCUAAAUUUGCCUACCCGACCCUACUAUUUGCCUAUCUAUUUGAUGUCCUAAUCAUGAUACUACCGCAUUCGAGAAGGUUAAUAAACAUUUCAAAUCAACUCAAUCGAUGAAACAAAAUUAAUUCGAGUUCACUUAAUCAAGAUCAAUCCCUCCUUAAUUUAUUAUCGAUUACACAAUUACUCGAUUCUCAAUCAUAUAAUUAUUCACCUCAAAUAAUAAAUCGAUAUCAACAAACACUUAUGAUGAUUCAAACAGAUCAUUAUCAAACAAAACAAGGCUUACACCCAUCACCAAUUUCACACAUAAGGCAUCAAACGAUAAAGAUUAAUCAAGAACGAGAUAAGAAAUGGACCUCAAUUUUAUUCCGAACAAUUAGCGAUGGAUUGGAGCACACGAAUCAAUGAACCUCGACCAAAAUUUAACCUCGACGUCGAAACCCAAUUCAUAAAUCUCGACUCCGAAUUCUUUUUACCCAGACCCAUUUUCUCUCUGUAUUUUUAUGUAGGUCGUGAGAAGAGGAGCUGGACGAACUGCCAUGUGCUUGUUGGUUCACCAGCGAUUCGAGCUGAUUGGAGUGGUGUUUAACGUGAUUUAACUGGCGUAUUUUGCUGGUAGUGAUGGAUUUUUAGGGUUCCGUGAGGUUUUGGUCAUCGAAUUUCCUGCCAGUGGAGUUCUUUGAUAACUAUUAUUGCAUUGCCAGAGCUCCGACGAGCUUAACGGUGGUGACUAAUUUCCCCUUUCUCUAAUCUAUUCUCUCUGUCACGUUCUUUUUGCCUCUCCUCUCUUUGUUGUCAUCUUCUCCUUCUCUAAUCUAUUCUCUCUUUCGCGUCUCUACGUGUUAAUGUCACUGGUGAGUGUUAUCUGAGAGAUCUGUGUAUGCUUUAUGUGUGAAUAUGGUGAUGUGUGCUCUAUAUAUGAAUAUGGUGAUGAAAAGCCUAUGUGUUGGUAUAUCUUGUGAAGGGGAAUAUUGAUGAUGAUGAUGAGGAAUUGUUCCCUUUCUUUCUGUGUGUAUUUUCUAUGGUGGGAAUAUAAUGAUAAUAAUGAUGUGGGUCCCCUCAUGUGAAUGUUGUCUUGUAUAUUAAUGGAAAUGGUGAGGUCCUUUGUUUGUCUUUUUUGUUAAUUUGUUUACAAAGUGGAAUAAAAUAUGAAGGGUAGGGUAGUGAGGUGGUAUGGGGUAGUGAUGUGUUGUGAUGAAGUUUUAGGAUAAGGAAAUAUUAGGGAUUUAUUAAAAUUUUAUUAUUUUUGUAUUUUUGUGGGGCAUAAUCACACGGGUGGGGUGUAAGGUACCGUGAGGUUAAAAAAAUGGAUGAAUUAGGUUAUCGGGAGGGACAAAAUUACGUGUCUACAUCAUGCCUCUCUUUGCAUGUAAAUACAAAGUAUUUUCAUACAAAGAAGUAGACAAUGAGACAGAAUUUGACCCGACCAUUAUUCAAAGAAAGAAACAAAAGGAAGAAGGACAACCGAGUUGGAGAGUCGAGUGAGGUCCCGUCGAGGUUCCAGUCCGUGGCUCUAUCACUACAUCAAAAAUGAAAAUUAUAAGUUAAAACUUAAAAGAAAUUACAGAAAUCCUAUCUAUGCAGUUUCUUUGACUCUUGACUUGCUAUUUUAUCAUCCUGUUCUUCAGGCGGGCUCCUGACUUGCAAUUUCUUCAAUUUGUUGCUUGGUUUUCAAUUUCUUCCUCAUGUUGCUUGACUUUUCAGUUAUUCACCCUGUUCUUCAGGCAGACUCUUAACUUACAAUUUCAUCACCCUAUUCUUCAGGCAGGCUCCUGGCUUGCCGUUUCAUCACCCCGUUCUUCAGGCGGGCUCCUGACUAGCUAUUUCCAUAUGUUGUCUUUCAAUUUCUUCACUUUGUUUCUUGACUUUCAUUUUAUUCACCACGUUCAUCAGGAGGGCUCCUGAAAUCACAUCAAAACUAAAAAGAAAAUUAUCCCAAACAAAGAUUAUUAUAAAGAGAUUUCACUUGCCAGAAAAGUGAAGUUCCAAACACAAGAAUUAAAUUUUGCCCUAGUUUAUCAUCAAAGGACUUUUGUGAAAGUCGCAUCAUUAUAGUUAUCAAAGAUAAUGACUAGACUAAAAGGUACGCCUUAUAGAAAUCAAGGAGAAUGACUCGACUAAAAGGCACGCUUUAUAGGAAUCAAGGGAGAUGACUCGACUAAAGGGUACGUCUUAUAGGAAUCAAGGGGGAUGACUCAAAUAAAAGGCACGUCUUAUAGGAAUCAAGGGAGAUGACUCGAAUAAAGGGUACGUCUUAUAGGAAUCAAGGGGGAUGACUCGACUAAAAGGUACUUCUUAUAGGAAUCAAGGGGAAUGACUCGACUAAAAGGUACGUCUUAUAGGAAUCAAGGGGAAUGACUCAAUUAAAAGGUAUGUCUUAUAGGAAUCAAGGGGGAUGACUCGACUAAAAGGUACAUUUUAUAGGAAUCAAGGGGAAUGACUCGACUAAAAGGUACAUCUUAUAGGAAUCAAGGGAGAUGAUUCGACUAAAAAGUACGUAUUCGAGGGUUCAAGGGGAAUGACUCAACUAAAAGGUACAUCUUCUAAGGGUCGAGGGGAGAUGACUCGACUAAAAGGUACGUCUUCUAGGGGUCAAGGGGAGAUGACUCGACUAAAAGGUACAUCUUAUAGGAAUCAAGGGGAUGACUCGACUAAAAGGUACGUCUUAUAGGGGUCAAGAGGAAUGACUCGACUAAAAGGUACGUCUUCUAGGAAUCAAGGGGGAUGACUUGACUAAAAGGUACAUCUUCUAGGAAUCAAAGGGAAUGACUCGACUAAAAGGUACGUCUUAUAGGAAUCAAGGGGGAUGACUCGACUAAAAGGUACGUCUUCUAAGAGUCAAAGGAAAUGACUGGACUAGAAGGUACGUCUUCUAGGAGUGAAGGUUCAAUUUAAGAAGUGUAUCACCCAGCAAAUUAAAACUAAAAUCCCUGGACAAGAAAGUGUGUUUCCGAGGGAUAUAAGAUGAUGAAUUUUUACCAUGAUUUAAUUAUCAAACCUGUGCAGCAACAUUGCUUCCUACAUUUGUCAAAGCAAGAAAUUAGGGGCCUUGAUGUUUUGGCUUUGAAAUCCUUGAUUUGAAGGUGACAUGUGUUCCUGUUUUAUGCAAAGAAAAGUUGUGAGUUUAAAAACAUGAAGGCAGGUUUGUGGCUUUGGCUUUCAUGGCAAACGCUCUUGCCGUCAUCACAUUUAACCUUGCUUCCAACCAUUACAUAUAUCAUUGAUUUGAUGCAUCAUUGACCCAAACUCAGAUUAUUAAGAGUGACUUUGAAACAAACGCAGUAUCUUUGCUUUUCCAUGCUCUUCAGAUAAACCCUUUGAACUUUGGUAUUUCCAUGAGUGCCCAGACUUUUCUGUUGACAGAACUUUCUGUAUGCCUUAUUUCGGCUCACAAUCAUGUCUUUUGUAUAUGCUAGUUCUUUUGUCUUGCUUUGUGCAAUUAAAGAAGCUGGUAGCCAUUUUUGAAAUCUUUUCUCACUUGUUUUGACAUGGACUUGACUCAAAGACAAGAAACUAAAAAAAAGAAUGACAAUUUUUGUUUGGAUAACUGACUCAAUGACAAUUUUUAUUUGGAUAACUGACUCAAGAAAGAUAAAAUAAAAAUAAAAAGAAGAAAGAAAAGACAACGAAUGUCCCCUUUUGAAAUAAAGAAACAAAAAAUUCAUCUAAAAAUGACAGUCAACACUAAUGAUUAUGCCAUGCAUUUCGGAUUAAGCAGCUUGAUCUUUUCAUCCAAACUUUCUACCCAUUGUUGUUGAGCUAAUGGCCUUGAAACUGAGUUUCUUCCUUAGGUAAAUUGUAUUUAAGACCCCAUUCAGCUAGUGGCGCCUUGAAGGGUUUUUGCCAACAAGCUUCUCUCAUUUUCUUUUCCUCAGUUCACCAUUGCCUUAUGGUGUCUGUAAGGGUUUUCCACUAAUGAGACUCUCUUAUCUUCAUUUCCCUUAACUCACAGUUGUCUUACGGUGCCCGUGGGAGUUUUCACCGAUAAAACUCUCUCAUUUUUAUCUCUCUCAACUUAUCAUUAUCUUACGAUACCCGUGAGAGUUUUUACCAAUAAGACUCUCUCAUUUUUAUUUCUCUCCUGAUUUCUUAUGCUGAGGAAGACAAGUAGUUCCCAAAUACAUCACCAUAUCCCUUGCAUGCUUAGCCUUAACAUCUUCAAAGAUUGAUUUGAGGUCUUUCUUUGGUUGUAACUUGGCUUUUGGAUAGGGUUAGAAAGAAAGGAUGGCAUGGGGCCCAAAUAACACUUAAAGUAGGGUAGGACUUACAACUUUUGGAAUCAACUCAAACAAUGAGGAUUAACUAAUGCCCCAGUUUUUUUUUACUGCACAAUUCUAAAUUAUUUAUUUGGUUGGACCAAGCCCGGAGUAGGGCAGCCUAUGUAUCUCACCCCCGAAAGAGGAGAAUCAGGUCACACGUAGUUUCGGUGGCUUGUUCUUUUGCUUGAUUCUGAUUUUUUUUCUUUUAUUGCCUCUUUUAUUGACUUUUUUUUUCUUUUUGGGACCUUCUAACUCUAUUUUUUUAUGGACGCUCUUUUCUUUUCCUUCUUUUGGACACAUUUUUUCUCUCGUUUCUUUUUGAAACUUUCUGACUCUAUUGUUUUGCUCGAUAGUUUUUUUUUUUUUUGAGGUUUGUUGAAUCUAUCUUGAUUCUAAAAGAGGGGCAUGAAGGAAAAUAGGACUAAAUCUCAAAUGGGGUAAACAAAGGAUGACACAAUGUUUGGAUAGCAGAAUGAAAUGCCUUCGUCAUAUCAAUCCUUGAAAAUGCAAGUACAUAUUAUGCAAUAUAAAAGUGAGAGAUGAAGAUCAUUUGUGAUAUUUUUACAACGCUAAUUUUAACUGAGACUGUGCGUCGCUACUUGUUCUGCAAACUCCAUCUUUGUUGUACAUUUCUCAUGCUUUCGUGGAGCUAAUUUUUCUAUUCCUUUUUAUGUGGGAUCACCAUCCACUAUUUGACCUAAUUGAGACAUGUCUUUCAAUGCUGACCAAGUUAUUCUCACGAUUCUCAAAAUAAUUGCCUUAAUUUUUAAAGAAGGCUUCAACUUGAUCACCAAAUGCCCCAACACUUAUCUAUUUUCUCAGACGCUUUCUUUUUCUAACUUUAACCCUCUGAUUCAAUGCUCAUGCUUAAAGUGGAUUUUAAGAUCUGAUAGAAAAUUUCACUAGCAUGUCAUAUCACUAGAGUCAACAUAAAAUGUACAAUGUAAAGAAAACAAACAAACAACACAUAUUUAAAACACAAAGGAAAAUAGGACACUUCAUUUAGUUGAAACAAAAGAUAGAAGAGUUUGAACAUAAACGACAAAAGGACAAAAUAAGAUAGAUCUCGAACUACAACCCUGAAAUAAUUCGGAUAACAAAAAAUAAAACAAAACAAACUAUCAGACCUCUUCGUAGUAGGGAGAGGGAUGACUUCUCAAUUGCUUAACCUGACAUCUUAGCCACUGGUUUGCAUGUCAGCAUGACUAGAUUUUCCCUCACUAUCAAUGUUCUGCACCAUUAUUGAUCCAUCUUGAAUCAUAUUUUCAAUUUCUCUUUUCAAAUCUCGACAAUCUUCAAUACUAUGAGCCUGAGCAUCAGAAUAAUACGCACAUCGUACAUUAGGAUCAAAAUUUCUGGAACGCCGAUUAAGAGUACACCUAAGGAGAAGAGUGAUCAUAUCCCAUUGUACCAAUCUCUGAAAUAAACUGGCAUACGACUCUCCAAUUGGUGUGAAGCUAUCUUUUGACUUUUUCCUUAUUUCAUCAUUUGGAUUGGAUCAAAAAUCAGGCUUAGAAGAGUUUUGGUAUAUUUGUGGAGUUAGAGGAAGACUCUGAGGAGUUGGUGUAUUCCACUGUGGGUAACAUGGGGGUUAAACAUGUGGUUGUGCGUUAUAAACUGGAUACGGGGGUGGAGAAACAAAGUAUAAUAAAUUUUGGGAGUGAUUAUGUGGAGCUUGGGCAUGAACUUGGGUUUGAGCCUGAGAGUAAUGACAACGGGGUCUUCUUGACCGUGCCCGCUGUCCAACUAUAAUAGAAGAUGCAUCUUCCUCAUUCAGUGUCUCCCCAACACUUCCUGAACCCUUUUGAAUUACUUGAGUUACCACUUUGAAUGUUGCAAAACUCACAAUGCAACCAGUCUUAAUUCCCUCUUCUAUCAUCUCCCCCAUUUUAAGGGCCUCAAUAAAUGACUUACCUAAUGCAGGUAACAAGUGUUAAUAAUAUGUUUCAUCCUGUGCUUGAAUAAACACCUCCACUAUUUUUCUUUCUUUCAUUGGUGGUUUUACUCUAGCAGUUUGUUCGCACCAUCUGAUUGCAUACUCUCUGAAACUCUCAGUAUUCUUCUUUUUUAUAAUAGUUAGGUAUUUUUCGUCAGGGAUCAACUCGACAUUGUAUUGAAAUUGUUGCACAAAUCCAUUAGCUAGGCCAUCCCAACUAAUCCACUUGUCAAUGUCUUGGUCAACAAACCAUUCCAAAGCUAGGCCUGAAAGACUCUCCCCAAAAUAAGCCAUGAGUGGUUCUUCCUUUCCUCCAGCGCCCCUUAAUUGGUUACAAUAGCGCUUUAAAUAUGCCACUAGGUCUCCAUGUCCAUCGUAUUUCUUAAACUUUGGUAUUUUAAAGCCAGGAAGAAGGUUAACACCUGGAAACAUGCAUAAGUCCUUAUAUGAGAUACUUUUGUAACCCCUAAGUCUUUGCAAGUUCUUCAUAGUCAGUUCCAAACUUCUUAAUUUUUUGGUCAUUUCCUCUUGUUCUUCUGUCAUAACAGGCUUCUCAGUGUUAGGAGGAAAUUCAGGCAGGCGAGUAUCACCGUAAAGACCAGUCAACUUGAAUGUAGGCUCAGAAGUGUAACGCUGAUCACCUGUAAUAUUUAAUGCAGGCUCUCUUGUAGAGUAGUGAGCCACAACUUAUGGAAGAACAUCAAAAGUAGGAGCUUCAGGUGGAGGUUGCGCCGCAAAAAUAUGAACAACAGGUGGAGCCGAGCAUAUGGUAGUCUUGGAUUGGGGAGUGAGGAAAUGAACAUUGGAAAAGGUUGGAUAUUAUCGCCCCAGAGUCGAUCCUGAUGCAUAUUGUGGCAUAUCAACAAAAAUGGGAAAUUGUGCAUAUGACACGGGAGGAAAGCUAGAAAGAUAUUCCAAAUUAUCAGUGGGAACUGGAGGAGGUGACAACGUAUUAGCCCAAGCUCGAUGCAUUUCUAUCAUUUGCUGCCUUAAUUUCCAAAUCUCUUCAUUAGCUCCUAAAUUCUCAUUUCCCGAACUCCCUGUCUGAUUAGUGACAACAAACUCGGUAUCCUUGUUGGCCAUAAAUUUCUUUAUGACUUGGUGCAAUAUGGAGGCCCAUCCAAAAUGCCAUAAACCAACCACCUUAAACUAACUGGAUAAGAGAUAGUAAAUGCGUUAGAGUUCAACAUUUUUUCAAAACCUUUUUUUUUUCUUGAUAAGAUCACCGAACCCAAGAAGCACGCCUACGUAUCUCGCCCCCAAAAGGGGAGAAUCAAGUGUGCGUAGUUCGUGAAGUCUUGCCAAAAUGGCCAAUUAAAAUCUUUUUCUUUUUCUUUUUUCUUGAAACUUUAAGAAGAAAAGAAAAUAACAAAUUAUCAAAAGAAUUGACGAAAAUCAUUUUUGCAUUUUUCAGAUUUAAAUUUCCUAUACAAAAUGAAACCUAUGACAACCAAAGAAAAAUCAUUUUUUGAAUUUUCGAUUCUAAAUUUCAUAUGAAAAUGAAACUUGAAACUAUUAGAGGAAAAUCUUUUUGUGGUUUUCUUUUCGAAGAUGUAUAUGACACACCUACUCUAAAUGAAGAGUGAAAAAAAAAUCUUUUUAGGAUUUUUUUUUCAUAUUCCUAUACAAAAUAAAACCUAUGAUUACCAAAGAAAAUCUUUUUGAAUUUUCAAUUUCGAAUUUCAUAUGAAAAUGAAAAUUGAAACUAUUAAAGAAAAAUCUUUUUGCAGUUUUCUUUUAAAGAAAUAUAUGACACCUACUCUAAUAAAGAGUGAAGAAAAUCUUUUUUUUUUUUGAAUUUUUCAAAUAGGGUCCCCGAACCAACAAUAGGCUGCCUACGUAUCUCACUCCCGAGAGAGGAGAAUCAGGGGUGCGUAGUUCGUCCAGAUAGGACAAUUAAGAAUUAAAUGACAGAUUGACCCUAACUUAAGAGACACGACCAAAGACAGACAAAUAAAAUCUUUUUAGGGUUUUAAUCAGACACUUCACAUAAAACUUACAUCAACAACUAUGAAAGAAUUUUUUUUUUUUGAUAUUUUCAUUAUAUGAAAUGUACAAAACUUCUACCAUGUUUUUUUUUUUGAAUUUUCCUUUUAUAAAAAGCUCCUAAAAAAUGAUUUUUGGAAUUUUUAAAUUGUGACUGCAUGCUAAAGGAGAUAAAGGAAAAAUCUUUUUGAGGUUUUGUUUUUCAGUAAAUGCGUGAAAAAGUAAGAAAAUCAUUUUGAAUUUUUGGAUUGUGAAAAAAUAAAAGCCAUAAAGAACUCUAAUAAUUACGAAACUAUUUUUUUUCACUCCUUUCUUUUUUUUUUCUAUUUUUUUCAACAUUUCUUGCCUACGCACUUUACUUCUAACACAUGCUUUCCCCAAAUCAGUCCAUCAAAUGACCACGUUACCCUCAAAGAUACAACAUUUAGCACGUAGAGAUGCUUUAGAGAUGAGUCUCCUACAAAAGGCCACGUUGGUUUCGCUAGGUCUCAAUAUGAUGCAGAUAAGCAUGACCUAAAGGUUGACCUACGCUGGGGUCCACUAACAAGGCUGUUCGGGGGAGCGUAUGGUUGAUAGUGGAUUGCUUUAGCUGUCCACCUACUCCAUACAACCCAACGGAUCCCCCUCCUUAAAUAAAGGUGACUCAACUAUAGGUCGUGUACACACGUGUACUACGGACUUGUUGCAGAAAAAAAAAGACUCGAGUUAUGCAUAUGAUGCCAGAUAUAAAGCGGGUAACACAUAAAGUAAAAACUGUAAACAAAAAGUACGUAGGCACUCAACAAUGAUAAACAAUAACACAAAACAACACAAACAAAAUGUCUACACCUAUAUUACCAAACUAAGCCGAUACAACUCCAAAAUAAGCUCAAAUUCUGAAAAAUUCCCAGCAGAGUCGCCAGAGCUGUCACACCCACUUUUUAACACCAAAAAGAAAGAUUGAUUUAAAGUUUGAAAGGGUUUUUAUUUAAAGUGACAAAAUGAAGAUUUGUUCCGAAAAGGACUUUUUAUAUUCAAAUCUCAGAGUCGCCACUUGGCAUAAUCUAGUGUGUCAAGUCACCUUUGGAAAAUUCUUUUCAAAACUAUUUUGACUCUUUAAAACUGGUUUACGAACAGAGAUUCCGGCUAAGGAAUUCUAUUGACCGAAGGGAAGGUGUUAGGCACCCCUCGAUCCCGUGGUUCGACCACGGUCACUUGGUAGAGCGUAUCGGUUAAUUUAACACUAUGAGUGUACAAACCACAUAAAACAAACAAUAAACAAAUCAAACAAAAUGCAUCCAAAAAAAAUAAAUAAAGUCCAGUCCAAUUAUACAAUCCAAAAAUAGAAAAAUGCGUAAAAAUAAAUCCUAUUCUAAACUAAUCCUAGACUAAUGCUCUACCCGAUGCCUCGGGCCUUCAUCACGAAUGUCCUCCGGGUAUAAAAUACUUUGGGGCAUUUCCCAGCGAAUAAACAUAAAUAUUUCGGGGCAUUCCUCGGCCAAAUGAUACUUUGAUAUAAAAAAAACCAUAAAAACAAGCCAUUCAACACACAUUUUUCAACAUUCAACAUUUGAAGAGUUCUAAAUUUGCCUUACCGACCCUACUAUUUACCUAUCUAUUUGACGUCCUAAUCAUGAUACUACCACAUUCAAUAAGGUUAAUAAACAUUUCAAAUCAACUCAAUCAAUGAAACAAAAUUAAUCCGAGUUCACUUGAUCAAGAUCAAUCCCUCCCUAAUUUAUUAUCGAUUACGCAAUUACUCGAUUCUCAAUCAUACAAUUAUUCACCUCAAAUAAUCAAUCGAUAUCAAAAAACACUUAUGAUGAUUCAAAUAGGUCAUGGUCAAACAAAACAAGGCUCACACCUAUCACCAAUUUCAACACAUAAGGUAUCAAACGAUAAAGAUUAAUCAAGAACGGGAUAAGAAAUGGACCUUAAUUUUAUUUCGAACAAUUAGCGAUGGAUCAGAGCACAUGAACCAACGAACCUUGACAUCAAAACCCAAUUAGAAAAUCUCGACUCCAAAUUCUAUUUACCCAGACCCAUUUUCUCUCUGUAUUUUUAUGUGGGUCAUGAGAAGGGGAGCUGGACGAACUGCCAUGCAUUUGUUCGCCGGUGAUUUGAGCUGACUGGAGUGGUGGUUAACGGGAUUUUAUCGGCGAAUUUUGCCGAUGGUGAUGGAGUUUUGGGAUUCCGUGAGGCUUUGGUCGCCGGACUUGCUACCAGUGGAGUUCUCCAGUGACUGUUGUUGCAUCGCCGGAGCUUCGGCGAGCUUAACGGUGGUGACUAAUAUCCCCUUUCUCUAAUCUAUUCUCUUUCUCACAUCCUCUUUGCCUCUCCUCUCUUUGUUGUCAUCUUCUCCCUCUAUAAUCUAUUCUUUCUUUCGCGUCUCUGCAUAUUAAUGUCACUGGUGAGUGUUAUCUGAGAGAUCUGUGUGUGCUCUAUAUGUGAAUAUGGUGAUGGAAAGCCUAUGUGUUGGUAUAUCUUGUGAAGGGGAAUAUUGAUGAUGAUGAUGGAGAAUUGUUCCCUUUCUUUCUGUAUGUAUUUUCUAUGGUGAGAAUAUAAUAAUAAUAAUGAUGUGGGUCCCCCCAUGUGAAUGUUGUCUUGUAUAUCAAUGGAAAUGGUGAGGUCCUCAACAAAGUGGAAUAAAAUACGAGGAGUAUGGUAGUGAGGUGGUAUGGGGUAGUGAUGUGUUGUGAUAAAAUUUGUUAGG
rnacentral:lncRNA from 1 species